rnacentral:rRNA from 1 species
AGUGAACGCUGGCGGUAGGCCCAACACAUGCAAGUCGAACGGCAGCACAGUAAGAGCUUGCUCUUACGGGUGGCGAGUGGCGGACGGGUGAGGAAUACAUCGGAAUCUACUUUUUCGUGGGGGAUAACGUAGGGAAACUUACGCUAAUACCGCAUACGACCUACGGGUGAAAGCAGGGGAUCUUCGGACCUUGCGCGAUUGAAUGAGCCGAUGUCGGAUUAGCUAGUUGGCGGGGUAAAGGCCCACCAAGGCGACGAUCCGUAGCUGGUCUGAGAGGAUGAUGCGCCACACUGGAACUGAGACACGGUCCAGACUCCUACGGGAGGCAGCAGUGGGGAAUAUUGGACAAUGGGCGCAAGCCUGAUCCAGCCAUACCGCGUGGGUGAAGAAGGCCUUCGGGUUGUAAAGCCCUUUUGUUGGGAAAGAAAAGCAGCAGGUUAAUACCCCGCUGUUCUGACGGUACCCAAAGAAUAAGCACCGGCUAACUUCGUG